CUUUAGGGCAGCUGUAGCCUCUUUGGUGAAGAAAUGUUUGUUUAUUUGUUUGUUUGGUGUGGCUGCUGGUAGUUGGAUGGAAAAUAGAGUGCCCUCAGUAAUGAACACCACACCUUCUGAGGAGCCUGCACAACAGUGCCCCAUUUCCAGGACUUUGGCAGCCUCCUGACAUACACACCAGGUGUGCAUGCACCUCAGGGCUAGGGUCACACUCUGAAGAUGCUUGUCCCUUGCCCACUUCACAGAGGAUGCCACACGAGCAUUUUUUCUUCUCCGCCCGCAUUGUCUACCCUCAGUCUCCUCUGGAUUCCAGACUUCAUAUCUUGGACUAGGCUUCAUAAGGGGGUCUUGUGACAUCACUGUCUCCUGAACCAUCAACUCCUUCUACUUCAAUCACUGCAGAGGCUGAACAAUUGCACGUGGAAAUGGGACCAUGAGAUUUCAUCUCCUCGAGUCCUUGGUUCCUCCUGGCUUCUAAAGUUGUCAACGGGGCUGGAUGACAAAGAGAGGUCUGUGCCAUGAGGUAAGUUGUCACCAGUGGAAGACAGAAGGCAGAAGGGAACUCAACCAAUAAAUUCCUUCACCUUUCCUCACUACAGUGUAAUCUUCCAAUGGAUUCUUUGUUCUGCCUGUCUGCAGACUACUAACCUGGCUGAGUGAAUGCACCUGUUGAUCUGCUAUAUAUCUUCUUAUAUGAUUUGUUGUGUAGCAGACGCCAGUGCACUAAAUAUUACAUCGUCUUGCAUUCUCCUUAGUGUCACUUCCUUUUUCCCUCAGCCUUUCUGCUCUGGGAUGCACCUCCCACAUAAAGCAUCUAAACAUAAUCCUCUCCUCAGGUUCUGCUUUCUAGUGUAGUCAGGAUAAGAUGCACCAUUUCCCAGAGCAUUUGCAUUUUAAAAAUUACAAAAUUCUUAAGGAAAAGGAACAAGUAGUUAAAGGUGAACAUAUCAGCCUCAUUGGGAAUUAUUUUCAUUUCAGCAUAGAGUUCUCAAUAGCCUUGAAACUUUCUGCAUCUGCACUAAUAUGGUAUCCAUAUAUUCAAUCUUAUUCCAGUGUAUUAUAAUAUAUAGGCUCAUCAACAAUAGUAAAGUUAGGACUAUUCAUUAAGCAGUAAAGUAACAUUACCUUUUGAGCAUUUCUCACAAGGUAAUUCCUAUCUUAAUAUAUUAAGAAAGCUGCUUCUGUACCAGAUAAAGAGAAUGGCUACUGUAUUUGUUUUCUAGGGCUGCCAUAACAAAGUACCACUGUCUGACUAGCUUAAAAAAAUACACAUUUAUUUUCUUACCAUUCUAGAGGCUAAAAAUCCAAGGGCAAGGUGUUCAUAGAGUUCACUUCUCCUGAAGCCUCUCUCCUUGGCUUGUAGAUGCCGUCUUCUCUCUGUUUUCACAUGAUCGUCCCUCUGGGUGUGUCUGUGUCCUAAUCUCUUCUUAUAAAGAAACUAGUCCUAUUAGAUCAGGGCCCAGCCUAAAGGCCUCAUUUUACCUUAGUCACCCCUCUAAAGAGCCUAACUCCAAACACAGCCACAUUCUGAUAUACUGGCAUUUAGGGCUUCAAUAUAUGAAUUUUAGAGGGCACAAUUCAGAGCGUAACAGCCACCAUCUAUCUAUAAACGCUGAUUUUAGAGACCACAGAAUUGUUGGAUCAAGAGCAAAACAGAGCACUUUGGUGCCUAAGUGUAUCAGUUAGGGAUCACUGGUUGCAUGCAAUAAAACCACUCAGAACUGACCUAAGAGAAAAAAGAAAUGAUUCAAAAGAAAUGGGCAUAGUGUAUGAAAUUCAAGGAAGACCUAAAAAUUCAGGACUGAAUUGAAAAGGCACCCAGAGGCUCCAGGGAAUCUAUGCAGUGGGAAAAAAUAAUUUCUCUGCUACAUCCAUACCGCUGCUGGAGUGAGUGAGAACCAGCCACCUGCCCUUAGCCAUAACAGGAGGCAGUGCUCUAGUUCAGCGUCCAACUAACCUAGCAUUGGUCAUUCAUUGCUCCUUCCUUGACAAGAGGUGGAAAGGGCAUUUGUAGUCACAUCCUCACCAGUACUGCACACAAUAUAGGAGGUGUGCUUCUCCAAAAGAAAAUUGCAAUAAUGUUUCACUAAAAACGAGAGAUGGGUGUUUGAUGGUAAAGAAGGAAACAGAGAACGAAAAAAGGAAGGUAAGGACAAAGAAAAAAGGAAGGAGGAAAGAAAAAAGAAUGAAAGAAGUAAGGAAUAAAGGAAGGAAGGAUGAACGAAGGAAGGGAGGAAGGAAGGAAGGAGGGAGGGAAAGAAGUAAAGAAGAAAAGGAAGGAAAGAAUUAAAGGAAGGAGGAAAGAUGAAAGAAAGAAAGAAGAAAGGAAGAAGGAAGGAAGGAAAGAAGGAAGGGAGAAAAAAAGAAAAGAAAGAAAGAAAAGAAAGAAAGAAAAGAAAGAAAGAAAGAAAGAAAGAAAGAAAGAAAGAAAGAAAGAAAGAAAGAAAGAAAGAAAACAGCAUGGGAAAAGGAAGGAAGAAAAGAAAGAGAGAAAGAAAACAUUACAUCUAAAUUGGCUUGCAUUGUUCGUACAAAUUGGCUAAUCACUGGGCUUCCCCUUGUAGACAGAUUUGAGUCCACGAAGCAGGGAAGAACUUAGCCCCUUCUGCCAGUUUUUUUCUGCAUAUGUCUGUAUCUUAUCCACCGUUAGGUUUGGCAUUCUUGCCAUUCUUUCCUUGGCCACAAGCUGUGAGCACAGGGAGGACUCCGCUGACCUAGCAGGUGUCCAGCCGCCUGUGGGAGAGAUGAGCCCGAAGGCAGGUCCCUUACCAUGAAUUUUCUCGUUUCUGAUUAUUGCUCUUUGCUUCUACACCAUUUAAAUUGUGCCAUAUUUUACUUGCAGUUCUUUCAAGAUAUCUUUUUCGUUCUUUUUACUGUUACAGCCUGCUGGUGCCUCUUUUAAAGAGCCCGUGUCUUUUACAGUAUGAAAACAAUGGAAUCAUGUUUGUUAAGAGAACAGUUAUAAAGAAGCCUGCCAUCUGGAAGGAUAAGGUUGAUGGCAAUUUCUUGAUUUUUACUUCUACGGGAAGGAGCACAUAACUAAAGAAGGAUUUUUUCUCUCCUAUUAUAAAUCCAUGUAUCACAUUUCUGGGCAACUAUAUAAGUAUACUGUGUACCGAUCCUCAUUUUGUAUAAGCACCAUAUCAAGUUUGACCCAACAUGAGACCUGGGCAUUGUGAAACUGGUGUCCUAGCCUCUUAGUUCUGCAUCUGAUCUUUCCUUUGACAAACACCACGUUUCACCUCCCUUCAAUCGUAAGGGUGUCCAUACAUUCAUGUGGCAACUAAAUCACAGAUAUCCCCUUUGUCUUUUCAUGUUAGUCUAGGACACGGCUAUAGAACAGAGAUCAUCUAACAUUUCUGAAAAGACACAGAAAGUAAAUAUUUUUGGCUGAGUGGGCCAUAUGACUUCUGCAGCAACUAUCCAACCCUGCUGUUGUAGUGAAAAAGCAGGUGUGAGUGGUACACAGAUAAAUGAAUGUGGCUGUUUCCUUUAUUUACAUAAACAAGUAGUGGGCCAGAUUUGGCACAUGGGUUGUGGUUUGCUGACACAUGGUUGUGAGUUUUUCUUUUAUCACUAACCCACGGGGUGCUGACCAUUUAUCCAACAAUAAUUGCCAUCUGUUGAAUCUUAUAUGUCUACCUAUUAUAUGUCUAUGUAGCUUGUGGAAAUGUACUCAUCUUUACAACAACUCAAUAUUUACAUUCCCACCAACAUUGUAUUGUCAAAGAACAUGAACAGACAUGUCUCAAAAGAAGGCAUACAAGCAGCCAACAAACAUGAAAAAAUGCUCAAUAUUACUAAUCAUCAGAGAAAUGCAAAAUAAAACCACAGUGAGAUAACAUCUUACACCAGUCAGAUUGGCUACUGAUAAAAAGUCAAGAAACGACGAUAUUGCUGAGUAUGCAAGGAAAGGCAAUCUUUUAUACACUGUUGGUGGGAAUGUAAAUUAGUACAACCUCUAUGGAAAACAGUAUCAAGAUUUUUUUUUUAAAAUGAAUUCUUACUUUGUCGCCCAGGCUGGAGUGCAGUGGCACGAUCUUGGCUCACUGCAACCUCCAACUUUCGGGUUCAAGCGAUUCUCAUGCCUCAGCCUCCCAAGUAGUAUGAAGAAUUCUCAAAGAACUAACUACCAUUUGAUCCAAUAAUCCCACUUCUGGGUAACCACCCAAAGGAAAACAAAUUAUUAUACAUAAAAGAUACCUAUAUUCAUAUAUUUAUCUUUGCUAUCACAAUAGCAAAGAUAUGGAAUCAACCUAAGUGUCCACCAGUGAAUGGUAUGAUAAAGACAAUGUGAUACACACACACACACACACACACACACA
rnacentral:lncRNA from 1 species